CCUCCUCCUCCAGGGAGGCCGGGUCAUCCCGACAGCUGACGGCUCGGACUUGGCACAGCUCUUCCCAAUCAGGGAGGCCUUCCUGGCCCUGGAGCUACGGAACGCUCUGUGUUCUAGAAUCUUCCUCCCUCUCCGCCCAGCGCCUUGGUUCUGGGGCUCUGUCCUCGCCAGACCGCUCCCGGGCCCACAGGGGUCAGGCUGUGUUUCCGUAGCCCCACGGGGCUCCACCGACGGUCCGGUCCCGCUUCCCGGCUCCCCUGCCCACUAAACCUCUCCACAGCAGCCCUCAUCAUUCAGAUCCCAAGUGUCGCCUCUUACCAGAAGCCUUCCCUGAUCACCCCUUCAGAGCAGCCAGACCCCCGCUGUGACAACUUUCUGCCCUUUGAAAGCACCCAGUUCAGCUCUUUGUUUGCUGGCUGACCACAUCCCGCCCCCCCAGACAUCCACGAGGAAAUGCGACAUUCCUGAGGGCGGAUGUUCCUGUCUUAUGUUGUGCGGUGACGGUGACGCCCUCCCAGCCCAUAGGAGGUGCUCCACAAACACCUGUCGAUUUUCCCACUCGUCCGGGCUGCUGUGAGCCCAGGAACUGAAAAUCACCCUCUAAUUUUGUAAGGAAGUCAUCUGUAACCUUCCGGGUUCCUGUAACUGCUUUACACGUAUUGCACAGAAAAACGAGACGACCCCUCGUUGGCUCAGGAGCCAAAGAAAAGUUAAGUCACUCAUCUGGGGGGGCCACCAGGGCCGAGGGCAGAGGGCACGAAGACCAUGGCAAAUAACCCUCAGCUGCUCCCCGAGAAUGAACCACCCCCACUCCGAGUCCAAUCUCCUCCCAGAGAGAAACUCUCAGCGACACUGGAAUCGCAGUCCGAGAACGCCACCUCGGGACCGUGACUCCCCAUGGUGUCUCUUGCUCGCUCUCGUUACAAAAUUUCUUAAAGGAAAAAUAAAGAA